CGAGCCGGGCGGGCGGCCGCGUGGGGACCCUUCGAGGGCCCUCCCGAGGAACGUCCGGGCUCCACAGGGCAGGGUGGUGGCUAACGGCCACCCGGGGUGACCCGCGGGACAGUGCCACAGAAAGCAGACCGCCGGGGGCCUCGGCCCGCGGUAAGGGUGAAACGGUGGUGUAAGAGACCACCAGUGCCCAGGGUGACCUGGGCAGCUAGGUAAACCCCACCCGGAGCAAGGUCAAAAGGAGACACCCCGGUGUCUCUGCGCGGACGUUCGAGGGCUGCCCGCCCGAGUCCGCGGGUAGACCGCACGAGGCCGGCGGCAACGCCGGUCCUAGAUGGAUGGCCGUCACCCCGACGACCGCGAGGUCCCGGGGCACAGAACCCGGCGUACAGCCCGACUCGUCUG
rfam:Streptomyces rubrolavendulae strain MJM4426, complete genome.